rfam:Hoeflea olei strain JC234 contig_9, whole genome shotgun sequence.
CUUCCUCGAUCUGCUGCGGACAGAUGAAGUGGAUAUGGCUGUCGAAACCGCCGGCGGUGAGGAUCUUGCCCUCGCCGGCGAUCACCUCGGUUCCGGGGCCGACGAUGAUGGUGACGCCCGGUUGCGUGUCCGGGUUGCCGGCCUUGCCGAUGGCGGCGAUGCGGCCGUCCUUCAAUCCGAUGUCGGCCUUGAAAAUGCCGGUGUGGUCGACCACCAGCGCAUUGGUGAUGACGGUGUCGACGGCCCCCUCCGCGCGGGUCAUCUGGCUCUGGCCCAUGCCGUCGCGGAU